GUCUGUGGCCACACCAUGCUGAAUGUGCCCAAUCUCAUCUAUCUUGGAAGCUAAGCGGGGUUGGGCUUGGUUAGUCCUUGGAUGGGAGAAAACACCGACAUUCCCACUAAUGCCAGAAAUCAACUUGCUCCAAAUU
rnacentral:rRNA from 1 species